GGUGGGUUGGCAGAGCGGCCAAAUGCGCGGGUUUCGAAAACCCGAGGGCGAAAGCCCUACACAGGUUCGAAUCCUGUACCCACCGCCA
rnacentral:tRNA from 2 species